rnacentral:rRNA from 1 species
AGUGAACGCUGGCGGUAGGCCUAACACAUGCAAGUCGAACGGCAGCACAGUAAGAGCUUGCUCUUACGGGUGGCGAGUGGCGGACGGGUGAGGAAUACAUCGGAAUCUACUUUUUCGUGGGGGAUAACGUAGGGAAACUUACGCUAAUACCGCAUACGACCUACGGGUGAAAGCAGGGGAUCUUCGGACCUUGCGCGAUUGAAUGAGCCGAUGUCGGAUUAGCUAGUUGGCGGGGUAAAGGCCCACCAAGGCGACGAUCCGUAGCUGGUCUGAGAGGAUGAACAGCCACACUGGAACUGAGAAACGGUCCAGACUCCUACGGGAGGCAGCAGUGGGGAAUAUUGGAGGAUGGGCGCAAGCCUGAUCCAGCCAUACCGCGUGGGUGAAGAAGGCCUUCGGGUUGUAAAGCCCUUUUGUUGGGAAAGAAAAGCAGCAGGUUAAUACCCCGCUGUUCUGACGGUACCCAAAGAAUAAGCACCGGCUAACUUCGUG